CCACAUACCAGUGACUUGCACUCACUGUGGCCAGAGAUCCCCUCCGGAGAGAGUGAGAGAGCAGGGGAGGAGCAGAGGGAGAGAAUCUCAAGCAGACUCCCUGCUCAGCGCAGAGCCUGAUAUGGGGCUGCAUCCCACGACCCUGAGAUCAUGACCUGAGCUGAAAUCACGAGUCAGACAUUCAACCAACUGAGCCACCCAGAUGACGACACAGGCUGGAGCAGUUAAGCGCUUUGUCUGGGAUAGCUGAAGCAAGGAGAG